rnacentral:rRNA from 1 species
GACGAACGCUGGCGGCGUGCCUAAUACAUGCAAGUUGAGCGCUGAAGGAUGGUACUUGUACCAACUGGAUGAGCAGCUAACGGGUGAGUAACGCGUGGGGAAUCUGCCUUUGAGCGGGGGACAACAUUUGGAAACGAAUGCUAAUACCGCAUAAUAACUUUAAACACAAGUUUUAAGUUUGAUAGAUGCAAUUGCAUCACUCAAAGAUGAUCCCGCGUUGUAUUAGCUAGUUGGUGAGGGAAAGGCUCACCAAGGCGAUGAUACAUAGCCGACCUGAGAGGGUGAUCGGCCACAUUGGGACUGAGACACGGCCCAAACUCCUACGGGAGGCAGCAGUAGGGAAUCUUCGGCAAUGGACGAAAGUCUGACCGAGCAACGCCGCGUGAGUGAAGAAGGUUUUCGGAUCGUAAAACUCUGUUGGUAGAGAAGAACGUUGGUGAGAGUGGAAAGCUCAUCAAGUGACGGUAACUACCCAGAAAGGGACGGCUAACUACGUG